rnacentral:rRNA from 1 species
GACGAACGCUGGCGGCGUGCUUAACACAUGCAAGUCGAACGGAAAGGCCCUGCUUUUGUGGGGUGCUCGAGUGGCGAACGGGUGAGUAACACGUGAGUAACCUGCCCUUGACUUUGGGAUAACUUCAGGAAACUGGGGCUAAUACCGGAUAGGAGCUCCUGCUGCAUGGUGGGGGUUGGAAAGUUUCGGCGGUUGGGGGUGGACUCGCGGCUUAUCAGCUUGUUGGUGGGGUAGUGGCUUACCGAGGCUUUGACGGGUAGCCGGCCUGAGAGGGUGACCGGCCACAUUGGGACUGAGAUACGGCCCAGACUCCUACGGGAGGCAGCAGUGGGGAAUAUUGCACAAUGGGCGGAAGCCUGAUGCAGCAACGCCGCGUGCGGGAUGACGGCCUUCGGGUUGUAAACCGCUUUCGCCUGUGACGAAGCGUGAGUGACGGUAAUGGGUAAAGAAGCACCGGCUAACUACGUG